rnacentral:rRNA from 1 species
UAGGGAAUAUUGGGCAAUGGAGGCAACUCUGACCCAGCGACGCCGCGUGAAUGAAGAAGGUUUUCGGAUUGUAAAGUUCUGUUCUAUGGGAAGAAUAAAAUGACGGUACCAUAGAAGAAAGCCCCGGCAAACUACGUGCCAGCAGCCGCGGUAAUACGUAGGGGGCAAGCGUUGUCCGGAAUGACUGGGCGUAAAGGGAGUGUAGGUGGCGUUUUAAGUUAAAUGUGAAAGCCUGGGGCUUAACCCCAGAAUUGCAUUUAAUACUGGAAUGCUUGAGUGCAGGAGAGGAAAGUGGAAUUCCAAGUGUAGCGGUAGAAUGCGUAGAUAUUUGGAGGAACAUCAGAGGCGAAGGCGACUUUCUGGACUGUGACUGACACUGAGACUCGAAAGCGUGGGGAGCAAACA